rnacentral:rRNA from 1 species
AGAGUUUGAUCCUGGCUCAGAGCGAACGUUAGCGGCAGGCUUAACACAUGCAAGUCGAGCGAGAAAAGGGGCUUCGGCUCCUGAGUAAAGCGGCGGACGGGUGAGUAACACGUGGGUAAUCUGCCCUUCGAUGGGGGACAACAGUCCGAAAGGAUUGCUAAUACCGCAUACGUCGCCGGGUUCUGCGGAACCUGGCGGGAAAGCUGGCCUCUACUUGUAAGCCGGCGUCGAGGGAGGAGCCCGCGUCCCAUCAGCUAGUUGGCGGGGUAACGGCCCACCAAGGCAUAGACGGGUAGCUGGUCUGAGAGGAUGAUCAGCCACACUGGGACUGAGACACGGCCCAGACUCCUACGGGAGGCAGCAGUGGGGAAUAUUGGACAAUGGGCGAAAGCCUGAUCCAGCCAUGCCGCGUGAGUGAUGAAGGCCUUCGGGUCGUAAAGCUCUGUGGGGAGGGACGAAACACCUCGACCUAACACGUCGAGGUUGACGGUACCUCCUAGCAGAC